rnacentral:rRNA from 1 species
UACGAACCGUCCAAACGUUAUUCGGAAUUACUGGGCUUAAAGGGUGCGUAGGCGGCCCGGGAAGUUGGGUGUGAAAGCCCUCGGCUCAACCGAGGAAUUGCGCCCAAAACUGCCGGGCUUGAGGGAGAUAGAGGUGAGCGGAACUUAGGGUGGAGCGGUGAAAUGCGUUGAUAUCCUAAGGAACACCGGUGGCGAAAGCGGCUCACUGGGUCUCUUCUGACGCUGAGGCACGAAAGCUAGGGUAGCGAACGGG